rnacentral:rRNA from 1 species
ACGGGUGAGGAACACGUAGGAAUCUACCUUAGAGAGGGGGACAACCAAGGGAAACUUUGGCUAAUACCGCAUAAUCUCGAGAGAGAAAAGCUGCCCGCAAGGGUGGCGCUUUAAGAGGAGCCUGCGUCCGAUUAGCUAGUUGGUGAGGUAAAGGCUCACCAAGGCGAUGAUCGGUAACUGGUCUGAGAGGACGACCAGUCACACUGGGACUGAGACACGGCCCAGACUCCUACGGGAGGCAGCAGUGGGGAAUCUUGGACAAUGGGGGCAACCCUGAUCCAGCGAUGCCGCGUGGGUGAAGAAGGCCUUCGGGUUGUAAAGCCCUUUAGGUUGGGAAGAAGGUUAGUCGUUUAAGAGAUAGCUAACUUGACUGUACCGACAGAAUAAGCACCGGCAAACUCUGUGCCAGCAGCCGCGGUAAUACAGAGGGUGCAAGCGUUAAUCGGAGUUACUGGGCGUAAAGGGCGCGUAGGCGGUUUUAUGAGUGUGAUGUGAAAGCCCCGGGCUUAACCUGGGAAGUGCAUCGCAAACGAUAGAACUGGAGUAGAUGAGAGGGUGGCGGAAUUUCCGGUGUAGCGG